UACGUAGGGUGCAAGCGUUAAUCGGAAUUACUGGGCGUAAAGCGUGCGCAGGCGGUUAUGCAAGACAGAGGUGAAAUCCCCGGGCUCAACCUGGGAACUGCCUUUGUGACUGCAUAGCUAGAGUACGGUAGAGGGGGAUGGAAUUCCACGUGUAGCAGUGAAAUGCGUAGAGAUGUGGAGGAACACCGAUGGCGAAGGCAGCCUCCUGGGCCAGCACUGACGCUCAUGCACGAAAGCGUGGGGAGCAAACAGG
rnacentral:rRNA from 1 species